UACUAGAGUAGCACUCGCAUAUCAAUAAGCGGAGGAAAAGAAACUAACAAGGAUUCCCCUAGUAACGGCGAGUGAAGCGGGAAGAGCUCAAAUUUGAAAUCUUAAAGGGUUUCCCUUUACGAAUUGUAGUUUAAAGAAGUGUUUUCUGUUGAGGUUUUGGUAAAAGUUCUUUGGAAUAGGACAUCAUAGAGGGUGAGAAUCCCGUAUUUGACCUUUACUUUCAACUUUGUGAUACACUUUCAAAGAGUCGGAUUGUUUGGGAAUGCAGUCCAAAAUGGGUGGUAAAUUUCAUCUAAAGCUAAAUAUUGGCGAGAGACCGAUAGCGAACAAGUACCGUGAGGGAAAGAUGAAAAGAACUUUGAAAAGAGAGUUAAACAGUACGUGAAAUUGUCAAAAGGGAAGCGUUUGACACCAGUGUUGUUUUUCUGAAAAUCAAUUAAAGAACUGUUUAUGCUAAGUUGUUUAGACUUUAUCAGCUAACUGUUUAGUUUUGAGCUUUUCUUUAAUGCACUUUUCAGUUAACAAGUCAACAUCAAUUUCUUUUGCUGUAAAAAAGCUUGAGGAAGGUGGCUUGAGAUUCGUCUUAAGUGUUUAUAGCCUCUUGCCUAUGCAGUCGGAGAGAUUGAGGUCUGCAGCGUAGAUCCUUCGGGGCUAAAUGCAUUUGUGCUAAGUUAUAGCAUUUUAUAGACAACUUGUUGACUAUGAUUUGUCUUGUAGGCUUACUCGCUUAUGUUAUUUUACCUACGCUUAGGAUGUUGAUCUCUCACAGUCGAGC
rnacentral:rRNA from 1 species